rnacentral:rRNA from 1 species
GUGGGGAAUUUUGGACAAUGGGCGAAAGCCUGAUCCAGCAAUGCCGCGUGCAGGAUGAAGGCCCUCGGGUUGUAAACUGCUUUUGUACGAAACGAAAAGCCUGGGGCUAAUAUCCCCGGGUCAUGACGGUACCGUAAGAAUAAGCACCGGCUAACUACGUGCCAGCAGCCGCGGUAAUACGUAGGGUGCAAGCGUUAAUCGGAAUUACUGGGCGUAAAGCGUGCGCAGGCGGUUUUGUAAGACAGUGGUGAAAUCCCCGGGCUCAACCUGGGAACUGCCAUUGUGACUGCAAGGCUAGAGUGCGGCAGAGGGGGAUGGAAUUCCGCGUGUAGCAGUGAAAUGCGUAGAUAUGCGGAGGAACACCGAUGGCGAAGGCAAUCCCCUGGGCCUGCACUGACGCUCAUGCACGAAAGCGUGGGGAGCAAACAGGAUUAGAUACCCGGGUAGUCC